rnacentral:rRNA from 1 species
GAUGAACGCUGGCGGCGUGCCUAAUACAUGCAAGUCGAGCGAACAGAUGAGAAGCCUGCUUCUCUGAUGUUAGCGGCGGACGGGUGAGUAACACGUGGGUAACCUACCUAUAAGACUGGGAUAACUCCGGGAAACCGAGGCUAAUACCGGAUAAUAUUUUGAACCGCAUGGUUCAAUAGUGAAAGACGGUUUCGGCUGUCACUUAUAGAUGGACCCGCGCCGUAUUAGCUAGUUGGUAAGGUAACGGCUUACCAAGGCGACGAUACGUAGCCGACCUGAGAGGGUGAUCGGCCACACUGGAACUGAGACACGGUCCAGACUCCUACGGGAGGCAGCAGUAGAGAAUCGUCCGCAAUGGGCGAAAGACUGACGGAGCAACGCCGCGUGAGUGAUGAAGGUCUUCGGAUCGUAAAACUCUGUUGUUAGGGAAGAACAAAUUUGUUAGUAAAUGAACAAGUCUUGACGGUACCUAACCAGAAAGCCACGGCUAACUACGUGCCAGCAGCCGCGGUAA